GACGAACGCUGGCGGCGUGCUUAACACAUGCAAGUCGAACGGAAAGGCCCUGCUUUUGUGGGGUGCUCGAGUGGCGAACGGGUGAGUAACACGUGAGUAACCUGCCCUUGACUGUGGGAUAACUUCAGGAAACUGGGGCUAAUACCGGAUAGGAGCUCCUGCUGCAUGGGGGGGGUUGGAAAGUUUCGGCGGUUGGGGAUGGACUCGCGGCUUAUCAGCUUGUUGGUGGGGUAGUGGCUUACCAGGGCUUUGACGGGUAGCCGGCCUGAGAGGGUGACCGGCCACAUUGGGACUGAGAUACGGCCCAGACUCCUACGGGAGGCAGCAGUGGGGAAUAUUGCACAAUGGGCGGAAGCCUGAUGCAGCAACGCCGCGUGCGGGAUGACGGCCUUCGGGUUGUAAACCGCUUUCGCCUGUGACGAAGCGUGAGUGACGGUAAUGGGUAAAGAAGCACCGGCUAACUACGUG
rnacentral:rRNA from 1 species